CAAUGAGUGUUGUAUGGCACUCUAACAAUCCAUAUCCACCUUGUGUGCAACGUUUUGAAUUUGAUCCGCACGAUCUAUUCUCUGUUGAGAGUGAUCGGUGUGGUGAAGAGUUCUUAUCUCAACUUAUCUUGAAACCAGUUUGUCUGAGUUAACGUAUUGAAUUAACUUAAUUCGAAAUA
rnacentral:misc_RNA from 1 species